CUCGCCAAGGGUGCGGAGCACCCUAACUCGCACUCGCACACGCGCAGGCGUGGCGUCGCGUGGGCGAUGAAGAGCAAUGUGGCGCCUUGAUGGCGCACUUCGCACGCUCGCAUCGCCGCGAGCCGCUUGAGAGUCGCCUUUGUAUUUUUUACCACGUGCGCGUGGUAGAGUACAGGGGCUGCAAGGACCAGGUGGUUGGUGACGUGGCAUGCAGGCGCGCGGGUACGACGCGUGACGUGGCAGUCAAGCGCAUCCGCGCGCGAGUACACGUGGCAGGUAGGCGCGCGGUUGCGCGCAUGAAGUAUGGGCACUGAUGUGACGUGCGUGGCACACCAAAGUGAGCCAAUACGGCGCAGUAUGUGGCCUGCUCGUAUAGGCUCACAGGUGAUGUGGCGUAGGUGCGCAUGGAUUUGAGCCAGUGUAGCGCAUAAAAAUGAGCCAAAAUGGCGCACGCGCGCAUGAGCGUGCAGACCUUCGCGCGCAUGAACAUGAUGGGCGAGCGCGCUCCAGUGUGUCUUGCGCGCGCGCGCAGAAGC
rnacentral:lncRNA from 1 species